UACUAAAAUUGGAACGAUACUAAAAUUGGAACGAUACAGAGAAGAUUAGCAUGGCCCCUGAGCAAGGAUGCCACACAAAUUUGUGAAGUGUUCCAUUAAAAA